ensembl:lncRNA
AAGCGGAAGAUGCGAGAUGCCAGACCCAACAAUGCUGAAGAGCUGAAGGCCACUAUUAAAGCAACCUGGGCUCUCAUAACACCUGAGGAGUGCAACAGACUGGUCGACUCCAUGCCACGCCGUAUUGCUGCAGCAAUUCAGGCAAAAGGAGCUGCAACUAAUAACUUACAAGAGGUUCCCACUUGGACUUGGAGGAUUCACUGCAAGCAAUAUACAAGCUUCCUAAAGAUGGAAGAACUCUGCUUGGAACACAAUCUCAUGUUGCAACCACUCAAAUGUUUUGAGUUUACCAGUGAACCUCACAACUCUUACUUUACAGUUCAACAUAGAUGGUCUCCCCCUCUUUAAGAGUUCAAGACUUCAAUUCUGGCCUAUACUUGCAAUCCUGAAAUGUGAUUACCCUAAGUCCCCAUUUAUUGUCGGCAUAUUUUGUGGUUUAAGCAAGCCAAAGUGUGUUGUUGAGUAUCUGAAGCAAUUUGUUAGGGACCUUAAAAAUGUACUGGCUAAUGGCAUUAUUCAUAAGGGUAAGCUAUUGAAUGUAGAGGUUUCCUCAUUUGUGUGUGAUGCUCCCGCCAGAGCCUAUGUUAAGAAUGUUAGUUUAGAUAGUUUAUUUCGAACAUGUGCGGGUAACACAACAAAGUGAACUGAAAAAAAAUAAAAAUAAAAAAAACAAAAAACAAAUCCAAUGAGAAUAGUGAAAACAACAAUAACAAUAGUCAGUAUAAAAAGUAAUAAUGUGAACCCAACAUGUCCGAAAAGGAG